rnacentral:ncRNA from 1 species
CAGCCUCAUGAGGACGACGAUGGUGCUGCGGUACCUAGUCCUUGUACCUCCCUGUUGGACUUCGGCCGAGCUUAAUGCUCGGCCUUUUUU